GCCGCCGACGAGAACCGCCUGCCCUUCCGCAGGGGCAUCGCUCUGCUUGACGGCGGCUGCGUCGAUAACGUCCUGCAAGUCGCCUAUCCCUAAAUAAGCAUUCAAGCAAUUACGUCAUGUCCACUUAUUGCAAGCGGGAAAACUUCAAAACCUUGUGUCCACAGCCUAAAAAAAAUCUUCAUGUGAUACUGCCCCCCCUCCAACUUCAUCUCAUGUGUGUGCUGAAAAGAAAAUCUUACAUUAAAGGAAGAUGACACAUUAGUGAUAGUCAGAAACAAUGUUCUUAGUAAUCAAGUAGUAAAGUUGUCUACUAGACUAUUUGGAAGUUGAAUGAUAUUGUCCUAGCCUAAUAAUUAGCAUCGCUUAAUUUUGAAAUACUAUUUUCUCCAAAGAAUUUGGCUUCAGAUUUUCGUUUGCAUCUAAUUUAUUGAUGUUUUUAUAGUUUUUGAUAUAUUGCAAUUAGAUAUGAAGUACUUUCUUUUGUAGUUAAUUGAAAAAAAACCAAAACCAAACAUAAUUCAGUCUCCUAAAGCAGCCCUUUUCAAUGGCAUAAACCAGAGCUUUUAUACCAUACAUGUUUUUCAUUUAUUUCAAACCAAGUAUUUUUAGUAAAAAUUACAGUCUAAACAUGAAAGCACUUUGUGAGUAAAUACAACAAUCUGGGAGGAAAACUAGAAAUUGGCUGUGUUUCAUUUGGCCAAAUUUGUGAAGAUGCCAGGAAAUAGCAGACGCUUUUAGAUGGUGAAGUGUAUGUUUGGUUUCUGAGGUUAGUCCUGAAUUAGUAUACAGUACUGUAUUGUCGUCACAGCUGUGGCUGUCAAGGUUAGGAAGAGGUGUGAUCCCUCAGUAGCACAUUUGACCUGGCGGGAGCCCUUAAUGCAGCUAUUCUAGGAGAAGAAAAAAGCCCUGUGCCUCUGCUGGUGUGACCCUUCUUACUUGGGGGAAGACAGAGACUACCUUUGCUGUAUGUAGUACUGCAAAGCUCAGCUUUACUGAUGUAGCUGCAUCCACAUCAGAAGUACUUGAAGUGUUUUUAAUAUGUCACAGAAGUACUCCUAUAGUAUCCUUGUCUGUCCGUAAUUUGAGGUUGGGUAUUCUUUGCUUCCUAGACCCUGCUUGCUCACACAGGUCUUCCUUCAAAGCAUUACAGUCCUUUCCAUGGCAGCAUGAGGCUUUAUAAUCAUGGUAGUCAUGCCUCUUAGGUAUGAAUGUCAAGGCAGUGAGUUGGAGGGAAGAGAUUCCUAGGGAAGGAAAACGGUGUAGAGGAUAGGCUGGCACUUACCACAGCUCUAGAAUGUAAUAUUGAUAUUGUGAGCUAGAAACCUGCCUUGUCUGUGGGAGAUGGCUCAGUUAAACAGCAUCAUCAGCAUGCAGUUGCAGAUCUGUUUUUCUAAAGCUCCUAAGUGAUAGGUGGUCAGGGGAUGUAACCAGAGUACUUUUUAGAGAAAAAGUGUAGUUUCUCAAGUGUAGCAUAAUGCUUGGAGCUCCCUGGACAUGACUUGAUUUGUAAAUGAAGUUAAAGACUUGUGAUUUUUUUUUUUUUUCUGAUUUUCUUUUAAAGAGAAGUAUUUACCUUCUGACUCAGAGAUUCUUUUAUCAUCUAUUUUUACAGCUGAUUAUCCCCCCACUUUUCCUUUCUUUGCCUUAAAUAAGAGCUGAAAGUUGGUGAUUACUUUCAAAACCAGCAGAAGCCAUAUUUUCAUGAGGAAGAAGAGAAAGCUUUGCAAGACCAUGUUGGUAAUUGCUGCAUGUAAUUCUGGUGGAAUGUGAUUGUAGUCAGUGAAUUUCAGAUACUUUUAAUUAAUGAUGAUUCCAGUUAAUAAUUUUUGUUCUUUUUAGUCCUCUUUACUCAAAAGAAUAUGAAAUAGGAGAGCAAGCAAAAGAAAUUUAAUUUAUCUUCGUUCAGGGUUAAGUUGGGUUGAGUGCCAACAGUAUGUGAAACACCUUUCUGUUGAUAAAACCACACCAAGUAUUUUAUUAGCAAAGUUGGCACAAAUGCUUGUAUGCCAUGAGUUGAAAUGCACCUUUUAGCAGACAUGAUGAUCUUUGCUGAUCCAUGCAGUAUGUUUCUGUUGUUGACAACACCUGUAGGACACAUGGAUAUAGUUAUAAAAAAUAAUAACGCAAGUAAAGUGGUGUGGCAAAAUGAAGUCUCCCUAGUUGUAGGCACUGUGUUUUCCAUUAACUUCUUGGUGUCCUGUGAUACCAAAUUGUUCUGGUACAUGUAGUGAUCUCUUUUCAAGGGUGAAAGGUUGUAUUAAACUCUGCCUAAGGAGAAGUUGAUCUGGUGACAUGCUGAAGGAACAAGCAUGGUUUCUUCCACAGUCAGCCUGAUGUUGGGGUUUGGUUAGGAAUGUAUGACUAAAGCAAGAAAUCCAGAAUUUGUUAAUACAAUAUUAUGCUAGGGGGGUAAACAAAUGAUGUCUGACUUUUUGAUGGACUUAUUUUGACUUAGUUCCAAGACUAGUAGAGUCUUGCAAAAGCAUCUUCAUUGAUUCCAGUUUCAGCUCGCUUUAAGAAAUAACUACCAAUGAAUGUUUCCAAGUUCUGGAACAGAAAAAAGGAAACUAAUUUUGAAAUAUUUCUUCCUGAAAGGGAGACAUCUGAAUGCGUUCUAGUUUCCUUGUUAGAUUUGGAAUGCAAUGCAUUAAUUAUGGGAAUGCUCAAGCUAUUUUCAGUUUGUGUGCUCUGAUGUACUAUCUUUGACCUUGAAUCAUUUCUCUGGAACCCCUGAAAAAAGGGGGAGGGAAAAAAAGCUUGCUUUCAAGACUAGAUUACUAAAUGUGGAAGACUGUAAACUGGUUCCUGCCUUUUUCAGUCUUUCUAAAAAUACCUAAUCUGGAUUUGCAGAGAAAGUAAAUAUUUUAGAGUGAUUUCAAGGUAGAAAAAUAAAACCUUAUGCUGUCUUUAAUUAUUAAGAGUAGGAUAAUUGUAAUAGGACAGUGUCAAUACUGCUCUAGAAUUUUAGGCUUUAAGGAGAAAAUGAAUUGUGAAUCACUUCCCAUCACAGUUUUUAAAACAAGGAAUCCUCUACGGAAUAGUUUUAUAUUGUGUUUACAUAACAAAAUUUUUCGUUGUUUAAGGUCAGUGCUCGUAUUUCACCCCCCCCCCCCCCCCAAGUUCAAGGCUUUACUCAACUUCCAAGAAAACAAUUUUCAUUCUCAAAACUUGCUUUCUUGUUGGAAAGCAAUGCCAUCUCUGUAGAUAAUCAGAUGUUUUGGUAUGUAGCAGUUCUUGAAUUUGAGCCAGUUGUCAUGCCAGCAGCUGACACCUGUGUGUGUGCACUCUAUCCCUGUACUCUAACUUUCAGAGAUGAACAAUUAACUAAAAGCAAAAUCUGUGCAUGAAAGUAGGCUGGAACUAUUUAAAAUUCAUCAUUAGACAAACUAGUUUCCUUAAAAUUCAGGAGCCAGAUGCUCUGUUUUGCUGUGUCAUUUGUUUGUGGGUUUGUUUGUUGUUGUUUUUUUUUGUUGUUUGUUUGUUUGUUUGUUUUUUGUUAAGAGACUUGUUAAAAUUGAACCCUUAGUUAAGACUCUGGUAAAGUUUUAAUUUAAAAAAUAUAACCUGCUUUGAGUGAAUAGUGUAUUAUUAGUACAGCAGUUUUUACUGGUGAAGGGUAAAGUAUAUCUAAGAUAUGUCUGCCCGGGUUCAAUUUUAAUGUCACAUCCUAUCUGGGUAAUCUAGUUAUGUCAAGAUUAAAUUGUGAAGCUUUGUAGUAGUGUACCAAAAUGGGAGCAAAAUUAAUGGUAGUGUAGGAAUGCAGCUGACGUCCCUUUACUUUCUUUCUCUUUAGCUGUUGUUUUUCUUUGGGGAUUAGGUUUAAUAUUUACUGCAUUUUUCCUUUUCUUGUUUUUUUGUUGU